rnacentral:rRNA from 1 species
AUUGAACGCUGGCGGCAUGCUUUACACAUGCAAGUCGAACGGCAGCGCGGGCUUCGGCCUGGCGGCGAGUGGCGAACGGGUGAGUAAUGCAUCGGAACGUGCCCAGUAGUGGGGGAUAGCCCGGCGAAAGCCGGAUCAAUACCGCAUACGACCUGAGGGUGAAAGCGGGGGACCGAAAGGCCUCGCGCUAUUGGAGCGGCCGAUGUCGGAUUAGCUAGUUGGUGGGGUAAAGGCUUACCAAGGCGACGAUCCGUAGCUGGCCUGAGAGGACGACCAGCCACACUGGGACUGAGACACGGCCCAGACUCCUACGGGAGGCAGCAGUGGGGAAUUAUGGACAAUGGGGGCAACCCUGAUCCAGCCAUGCCGCGUGCGGGAAGAAGGCCUUCGGGUUGUAAACCGCUUUUGUUCGGGAAGAAAUCCUCUGGGCUAAUACCCCGGGGGGAUGACGGUACCGGAAGAAUAAGCACCGGCUAACUACGUG